GGAGUUGGCCAGGCAGUCGCUGCUUUUACGGUUCGCCGUAAAAGGGGAGGAAAGUCCGGGCUCCAUAGGGCAGGGUGCCAGGUAACGCCUGGGGGGCGCGAGCCUACGGAAAGUGCAGCAGAGAGUAAACCGCCGAUGGCUCCCCGGAGCACAGGUAAGGGUGAAAGGGUGCGGUAAGAGCGCACCGCAUGACUGGCAACAGUUCAUGGCAUGGUAAACCCCACUCGGAGCAAGACCAAAUAGGAACCCUACAGGUGCGGCCCGCACUGGGUUCGGGUAGGUUGCUUGAGGCCUGUGGCAACGCAGGCCCUAGAUGAAUGACUGUCCACGACAGAACCCGGCUUACGGCCGACUCCACAU
rnacentral:RNase_P_RNA from 2 species